GAUGAACGCUAGCGGCAGGCCUAACACAUGCAAGUCGAGCGCGAAAGUCUUCGGAUGAGUAGAGCGGCGGACGGGUGAGUAACGCGUAGGAAUCUACCUGGUAGUGGGGGAUAACUCGGGGAAACUCGAGCUAAUACCGCAUACGUCCUGAGGGGGAAAGCGGGGGAUCGCAAGACCUCGUGCUAUCAGAUGAGCCUGCGUAGGAUUAGCUAGUUGGUAGGGUAAAGGCCUACCAAGGCGACGAUCCUUAGCUGGUCUGAGAGGAUGAUCAGCCACACUGGGACUGAGACACGGCCCCGACUCCUACGGGAGGCAGCAGUGGGGAAUAUUGGACAAUGGGCGAAAGCCUGAUCCAGCCAUGCCGCGUGUGUGAAGAAGGUCUUCGGAUUGUAAAGCACUUUAAGUUGGGAGGAAGGGUCGUUACCUAAUACGUGACGAUUUUGACGUUACCGACAGAAUAAGCACCGGCUAACUCUGUGCCAGCCGCCGCCGUAA
rnacentral:rRNA from 1 species